UACCAGGCACAGGGUACUGAGGUACCAGGCAUAGGGUACUGAGGUACCAGGCACAGGGUACUGACGGUACUAGGCACAGGGUACUGAGUUACCAGGCACAGAGUACUGAGGAACCAGGCACAGGGUAUUGAGGUACCAGGCACAGGGUAUUGAGGUACCAGGCACAGGAUACUGAAGUACCAGGCACAGGGUACUGAGGUACCAGGCACAGGGUACUGAGGUACCAGGCACAGAGUACUGAGUUACCAGGCACAGAGUACUGAGGAACCAGGCACAGGGUACUGAGGUACCAGGCACAGGGUACUGAGGUACCAGGCAUAGGGUACUGAGGUACCAGGCACAGAGUACUGAGGUACCAGGCAUAGGGUACUGAAGUACUAGGCACAGGGUACUGAGGUACCAGGCACAGACUACUGACGGUACCAGGCACAGGGUGCUGACAGUACCAGGAACAGAGUACUGAGGUACCAGGCACAGGGUGCUGACAGUACCAGGAACAGAGUACUGAGGUACCAGGCACAGGGUACUGAGGUACCAGGCACAGAGUACUGAGGUACCAGGCAUAGGGUACUGAAGUACUAGGCACAGAGUACUGAGAUACCAGGCAUAGGGUACUGAGUUACCAGGCACAGAGUACUGAGGAACCAGGCACAGAGUACUGAGGUACCAGGCACAGGGUACUGAAGUACCAGGCACAGGUACCAGGCAUAGGGUACUGAGGUACCAGGCACAGGGUACUGAAGUACCAGGCACAGAGUACUGAGGUACCAGGCACAGGGUACUGAGGUACCAGGUACAGGUACUGACGGUACCAGGCACAGGGUACUGAGGUACCAGGCACAGGGUACUGAGGUACCAGGCAUAGGGUACUGAGGUACCAGGCACAGAGUACUGAGGUACCAGGCAUAGGGUACUGAAGUACUAGGCACAGGGUACUGAGGUACCAGGCACAGACUACUGACGGUACCAGGCACAGGGUGCUGACAGUACCAGGAACAGAGUACUGAGGUACCAGGCACAGGGUGCUGACAGUACCAGGAACAGAGUACUGAGGUACCAGGCACAGGGUACUGAGGUACCAGGCACAGGGUACUGAGGUACCAGGCACAGGGUGCUGAAGCACUAGAAGCCCCCUUCAGGUUAACCCAGGUCUGGCAGAAGUCUCAUGUCCUCCUGGUGCUUCCCCUGAGGGGGAUGUGCCCACCUCUCAGGUGACCGAGCAGCUGUGUGGAUCCAGUGUCAGGGGGUGACUGCUGUGGCAGCUGAGCAUCAGGUGCCACCGGGGACUCCGGGGACCUCUUCCAAAGCCCGUGUGCAUGAGGUGUAACAAGACUAGGCUGCUUGGCACGCUCCUCCCUCCCUUUCCCUUCUGGCACCCACACUGCUGCCUGACGCUCCCCAGCUCUUGGGGGUAGACUGCACAGGGCUCCCUCUUCUGGGAAGUGGCUUGGCCUGCUGAAGCCAGAGAGGACCAAGGCCCAAGUGCUUGAAGCCAGAACAUUCCACGCACUUGAUCUCUGUCUCCUUCCUGGACAUGACUAUUCUCAGGCUCUAGGUAGGUAGAUGGUGACACACGGACAUCUCCGUAACAGAUGCUCUGGCCUUCGGGGAAAGAAGACCUCCUUUUCCUGACAGACGUCAUAAAGCAAAACUGCCCACAAACCAACAUUUAUGCAGGAGCAGCAAGGGGCUGAGUGGGGCAGAAAACACUGCCUGAUCUGAGACCUGGGCUGCUGGGCUCUGGUUAGGUUCCUGUGGUCAAAAAAGGGGCUAGAAACAGAUCAUGUUAAUGAAUGUAAACCAUGCUUGGUCACCCGGGACAUGUUUCAUGGAGGAACAGUGAAAAGCAGAGAAAUCUCCUCCUGCCUCAGACACUGUGGGAAGCAUACAGUAGGAUGCCUAGUCAGAAAAAUUCACUGUCCACACUGGCGCCUCUCAAUCACAGAGCACCCUGUAUCUAUGGGACUGUGUGCAGACCGGGCCAGAGCAACUCGGGGCUGUGUGUGGGGUCCUCUCACUCUGGUUCUCUUUGACUUCUCUUGGAAGCUGGCGGGUAAAAGGAUACAGAGAAGGAAGAUGAGAGGGAACAUUCCAGGAGGACAGGGGCCAGUGAGAAGGGACUCAGAGCCAGACUUCUUAGGCCACGGGUAUGCUGACCUUCGAACCCACAUCCCUCCAUGGCCUGUGGAUACCCCUAUCUGAUGCUCCAAUCUCCCCUGCCUUCAAGGCAGACAGUCCUUAAAUUCUAGGUUUGGAGAAGUUUCCCUGGCCGGCAACCACUGUGAGUCAGCAGGUUUUAAAGGGAUGGUGCUAGUUUGCUCUCGUGUCUGUAAAGAUAGAUUUCUUUCAUUUUUAGUAGAAACUACCUAAGCACAUAGAAGAGAGGAGAACACAUAUGUUUUCCUUUUGCUGAACUGCAACAGCUCUCUACUCGCUGUAGUUCAGUGGCAGAGUGCUUGCCUAGCAUGUGUGAGGCCUGAGUCUAAAACAGUAAA
rnacentral:sRNA from 1 species